UCCAGUUUACCUGAGUGCAGCUUGUAAUUCUUUUAAGCUGGAGAGAGGGUUCUGGAUCCGUAGCCGAUAACUCUCAGAAUACCACCCUGGCGCUGGUACAGCACAGCUCCGAGUCCUUCUUCAGAGGCGUCAACAUGAAGGAUGAAAGGUCGCUCGAGGUGAGGAGGGCGAGAGCUGGUAGCUGGCACGCUUCAUCCCCUUCUUGUGGUGGUGCUUUGGCUCACAUUUUGGCUUUGCCAGCAGCUCAUACAGUGGCUUCGCAGUCCUGGAGAAGUCCUGGAUGACUUGUCUGACAUUGUGCACAUGUUGGUCAAAUGUGCGGCUGAACACAAGGACAUCAUCCAGG